GUCCUGGUGAAGAGUCCCAAACUAGGACGAAACAGCUUUCCAGUAC
rnacentral:hammerhead_ribozyme from 1 species